rnacentral:rRNA from 1 species
UACGGAGGGAGCUAGCGUUAUUCGGAAUUACUGGGCGUAAAGCGCGCGUAGGCGGUCAAUAAAGUCGGGUGUGAAAGCCCAGGGCUUAACCCUGGAACUGCACUCGAAACUCAUUGACUAGAAUCUGGUAGAGGAUGGUGGAAUUUCCAGUGUAGAGGUGAAAUUCGUAGAUAUUGGAAGGAACACCAGUGGCGAAGGCGACCAUCUGGGCCAGAAUUGACGCUAAGGUGCGAAAGCGUGGGUAGCAAACAGG